UACGUAGGGAGCAAGCGUUUGUCCGGAAUCACUGGGCGUAAAGGGCGCGUAGGCGGCCAUUCAAGUCGGAGGUGAAAGCCCAGGGCUCAACCCUGGAAUUGCCUUCGAUACUGUUUGGCUAGAGACCGGAAGAGGUAAGUGGAACUGCGAGUGUAGAGGUGAAAUUCGUAGAUAUUCGCAAGAACACCAGUGGCGAAGGCGGCUUACUGGUCCGGUUUCUGACGCUGAGGCGCGAAAAGCGUGGGGAGCAAACAGG
rnacentral:rRNA from 1 species